rnacentral:rRNA from 1 species
GACGAACGCUGGCGGCGUGCUUAACACAUGCAAGUCGAACGGAAAGGCCCUGCUUUUGUGGGGUGCUCGAGUGGCGAACGGGUGAGUAACACGUGAGUAACCUGCCCUUGACUUUGGGAUAACUUCAGGAAACUGGGGCUAAUACCGGAUAGGAGCUCCUGCUGCAUGGUGGGGGUUGGAAAGUUUCGGCGGUUGGGGAUGGACUCGCGGCUUAUCAGCUUGUUGGUGGGGUAGUGGCUUACCAAGGCUUUGACGGGUAGCCGGCCUGAGAGGGUGACCGGCCCCAUUGGGACUGGGCUACGGCCCGGACUCCUACGGGAGGCAGCAGUGGGGAAUAUUGCACAAUGGGCGGAAGCCUGAUGCAGCCACGCCGCGUGCGGGAUGACGGCCUUCGGGUUGUAAACCGCUUUCGCCUGUGACGAAGCGUUAGUGACGGUAAUGGGUAAAGAAGCACCGGCUAACUACGUG